rnacentral:lncRNA from 1 species
AGAAAGACGAAGGUCGGUAGAGACCCCACAUUUGUCUUCUGAUUUUAUUCUGUAAAUAAAUCAUUUCAAGUUGUUUUUGCUAAUAAUUCUUUAUUUAAAUGUAUCAUUUUAUGUAAAUAAGCUUAUAAUUUUGAUUAGUUUUAUAUGGAGGUCUUGAUUUAAUGUGCUUAUUAGUUUAUUCGUUUCGGAAUUCUAAAGCGUGUGAGUGUAGGGAGAACCCAUCGCUCAUCUGGUACCGUUUCCCUACUGCGAAGGCAUAGCUAUGAGUGGUCUGCUGUUGCAUAUCGGCGGUGUCCUCUCUCUUGUUUCCUGGGAAGGUCCUAACUCUGGUCUUAUUGAAGAGAAUAUUAGUAGUAUAUAUGUGAUCAUCCUCAUUAUAUAUUUGUUUACAUGUUUUCGAUUUGACCUUGCAAGGUCAAUCGUAAAAGUGACUUUCGCAUUGACCUUGGUCGAAAAGUUUGUCGCGAUGAAAAUACCUGUACCUAAAUUGAUAAUUUCCUAAUUUCAUAAGAGGUAUACUGCACGUGUUUUCGAGUUGUUUCAACGAAAAAUAUGAUUUAAUUUUAUAAAUAAAUAUAUUUUAAUGCUUUUGAAAUGUUUAUUUUUUCAUUUAAGAGAUUGGAGGGAUUCCGAUUAAAAUUGUACAAUUUUGUGG